UUUGUUGAUGGGUCAGUGUAGAAAUAGCUAUAACUAGGGUUAUUAUACUGGCAGCGCUGCUUAUUUUUCCCCUCACAAAACUCAUCAUCCAUCUAUAAAGUUUCGAUCUUUACAUCUGAUUCUACUAUUUACAUUCGGAUUCAUCUUCUGCCCAAUAUAGAUUUGAAGUACUCUAGAAGGAGGCAGAUCUCAGAGCAGAUAUGGGUUUUGACAAUGAGUGCAUUGUCAACAUACAAUCUCUAGCGGGCGAGUACUUCUGUCCAGUUUGUCGCACACUUGUUUACCCAAAUGAAGCACUCCAGUCACAGUGCACUCAUUUAUAUUGCAAACUCUGUCUAACAUAUAUUGUUGGAACUACAAAGGCCUGCCCCUAUGAUGGAUACCUUGUGACAGAAAAGGAUUCCAAGCCACUUGUUGAAUCAGACAAAGCACUAGCAGAAAGGAUAGGCAAAACUCCUGUGCAUUGUCUGUUUCACAGGAGUGGAUGUUCUUGGCAGGGACCGUUAUCUGAGUGCACAUCUCAUUGUUCUGGCUGUUCUUUUGGAAAUUCCCCUGUUGUGUGCAACAGAUGUGGUGUGCAAAUUAUACAUCGCCAAGUACAGGAGCAUGCACAAAAUUGUGCUGGUGCAAAUCCUCAUGUGCAGCAGACCGCUGAAAAUCCAAAAGAUGCUGCUACUGCUGUUGCAGUUACUACCACAAACUCCAGCCAGGCAACUUCUCAACCUGUAGUUAGCGCCUCACAGGCACUGGUACCACAGACUGUCACGGCUCCUCCAGCCACACAAGAUUCGAAUCCUCAUGUCCACACAAUCGCUACUAGUGCUGCGAUGAGUACAGAGCAGUGGUAUCCUCAACAUUUUCAACAGUAUCAACAGCAGUAUCCUGGAUAUGAUCCAUACCAGCAGUACUACCCAUAUCAACAACCUGCACAACAGGUGCAACAGCAUGUACCAUAUGCAGGACAACCUCAGGUCUAUGCUCAGCCCCCAACUGGAAUGCAGGGUCAUCAUCAGCCAUUACCUCAGGUCCAAGGGCAAGGGCCAGCACAGACUCAGCCACAACCCCAAGGACCACCUCAAGCACAGUCCUUUGUGCAGAAUCAAGUCAACUCACAACAACAACAAUCUCAUAUCCAAGUUCACACUCAAACAGCUGCCCCGGGUCAAAUCCCUCCGCAGCAGCCUUACCCCCAAGCACAACCUCAUCCGCCACCCAAUUCUAUGCAGCCUCCUGCACAACAGAAUAUUCAAGCACCCUAUCAGCAGACACAGUUUCAGGGACAUUCAGUGCAGCUUCAAAUACAGCCCCAGCCUCACUCUAACCCCCAACCUGUUUUACAAUCUCAGCCCCAAAGUCAUCCUUAUCCACCAAGUCAGCAACCUGCUCCCAGUGUUGUACCAGGUUAUCAGUCACAUCACCCAGUUCAGCCUCAGCAGCAAAUCCUGCCUGCCCCCCAACACUAUCCUAUGCCCAUGCAUCCGUCUAGUGGGUCUUUUCCUCCAGCUGCUCAGUUCCCUCAGCAACCCCCACAUUUACGACCACCUCCGACUAAUCCUUCACUACCUAAUCAACAACAGGCAAACCUUAUGCAGAGUCAAAGCCAAAUCCAGGGCGUCCCUCCUGCCCAGCAUCCUCAUAUAUAUCCUCAAACUCCUCAGCAGGGGUACAUUGGUCACCAACGUCCUGCCGGACAACCGAUGCAGCAGCCAUAUCAGCAAUAUGGACAGCCACCUUUUCCGUCACAGGCAUCUGGUUCAGUUCAAGGUCCAUUUCACCAGAUUCCUUUCGGUCAGCAGCCAAUGCAGACCCAGUCUCAAGCUCAGGGCCCAACUCAGUUGCAACAGAGUGCUGUUGCCCGUCCUCCGCCACAAAUGCAUGGCAGUGUGCAAGCACAUGGCAUGCCACCCCAGCAACCUCCAUCCUAUGGCGGUAGACCCAUUGCACCAAAUCAAACGGCAACAUCUCACCCUUUUGCACAAUCUGGUGGCGCGUUUGGUGGCGCUCCUCACUCCAGACCAUUGCCGUCAAGUUCAGUUCAACAAUCUGAGCAUCAGAUAUUCGAGGGUGGCAUUGCCAACCAACAGCAAGUGCCUUCGGGGCAACAGUUUUCUCAGUCUGAUCGAGAAAUUAAGCAUAUAAUGGGUGAAGGAAAUGCUGCCCCGCAAGGUGGAUCAGCUUUAAACAAAACUGUGGGAAAUGAUAUUAGCGGUCCUGAAGAGGAUUCUGUUAGGGCUAAAGCGCAGGACUCUGAAAUUAGAGGUAAAAGUGGGGAUGAGGAACAUAAUAUCACAACUGAAGGUGAAAAGAAAGGAACUAGGAGCCAGGUCGCAGAAGCUGAGGUUGAUGCAUUGAAAACAGGUUCUUCUGAGCCAUCACUGGAGAAAACUGGUAAGGAAAAAACUGGAACACUUAAUGAGAUGGAUGGCAGUGUGUUUGCUGUCAAGGAUUCUACUUCACGACAAACAGAAGCUUUUGUCGGACAUAAGAAAGAUAAUACAAAUGUGUUGGCAAAUGAAAACAAAUCGAGUCACGGCCAAGUCUCACAACAAGGCCUGGCCAUUGGUGAAUAUGCUGGGUUCCAUGACAAGGGUCUCCCGAACUCCUCUAAUCAAGCUCAACUAACGGAUCAAGGCAGAUAUCAGAUGCCUUCAGGGACCUAUGGGCCUCCAUCUCAGCAACAAAGACAUACUAUGCCUUCAAAUUCACAGUCGGGUCCUUAUGUAGGAGCUCCACCUAAUGCACUACCAGGUCAAGGACCUGCUCACUUAAAACCUCAGGGACCGGGACUUUCGGGUCCACUCCAUCAAUCUCUUCAUCCAUCUGAACAUUUCCAUCAAUCUGGUUCUUCUCAAUCACAUGAAAGCUUCCAAGGUGUACAGAGGGGGCAAUAUUAUCAGAAUAACCCUCCUCAGCCUCCGUUCUCCAGAACUAAUAAAGCCGAACCAACAGGACCGCUACAUGGCUCUGAUAAUGCUGGUCCUCUGCAGAAUCAGAGGCUUCACCACUUAGAGGGUAGAUAUCCGGACCCCAAUGUAUCAGGAUCCUUUGAUAGAGGUCUAUAUGAGCAGACUUUAGCAAAUGAAAACCGUGUGCCUGGAGCUGCGCUUGGGCUGCAUGCUAAAAAUGUUAAUGAUGAUCACAUGAAACAAUUUAGAACUGGACCAGCUGGACGUAAUAGUCAGGGUGAGUAUGAGCAAGCACUGAAACAGUUCCCUAAGCCUGCAAAUAUUGGGAAUGGCUCAAUAAGAGCAGGUGAAUAUCCUCAUGAACAUAAAUCUGAGCUUCCUUCAAAGUUCUUGCCCCCAUAUAAUUCUGAUUCUCAGCCAGGAUUUCAUGGUUCAGGGCCUGGAUUUGGUGUGGAUCAUCUGCCUCCUAGAAGUCCUGGAAGAGAAUUCCACGGCAUUCCAUCCCGUGGGUUUGGAGCCCAAUCAGGUGGGCCACACAAUCAGCCUGGUCUUGAUAAUGUUCAUGGCUGGGGCUCCCAUGCAGUUAAUGAAGGGCCAAGAUCUUUUGACAUAUCUUCAGAUCCAGUUGGCAAGACUUUUCGUGAUCAUUUUAGGAGUGGUGAUAUGGCUGGUCAAGAUUUUAUUCCUAAUCAUAUGCGCCGGGGUGAACUUUUUGGUCCUAGAAAUGUACCAAGUCAUAUUCGUGCUGUAGAGGGUUUUGGAACAUUUUCGGAUCCUCGUAUGGGGGAAUUGAAUGGGCAUGGGGGUUUCCCAUAUGGAGAAUCAUUUGCAGGAAAUAAGUUAAAUCAUCCGCGUCUUGGUGAGCCUGGAUUUAGGAGUAGCUUUUCUCUGCAUGAAUUUCCACGUCCUGGUGGUUUUUAUGAAGGGAACUUGGAGUCUAUUGAUAGGUUCAGAAAGAGAAUGCCCGCUAGUAUGGGAUGGUGCCGGAUUUGCAAAGUUAAUUGUGAUACUGUGGAUGGCCUUGACCUACACUCACAAACACCGGAGCACCAGCAGAGGACAAUGGAAAUGGUUAUGAGCAUCAAGCAGAAUGCAAAGAGACAGAAGACUUCAAAAGAUCAAUCUUUUGUGGAAGAGGGAAUCCGGUCAAGAAAUGCUGGCAACAGGGGACGAGGAAAGAAAGUUUAAGUGGCGCAGAUCUGCUGUGUCAAGUUUCAAGGUGGUGUCUUAUCUAGUGUUGAAGCUUCAAUCUUCGUACAAUUAGCAUUAGAUAACUAAACUGCUACAUGUUUAUAUCUGGCAAAUCUUGGGGAUUAGAUUGAAGCUACAAGAUAGACUUUCCAUUGUUGGAUGACAGUCUUGGACUACAUUACUGCUUCGUUGUAGUGUUUCCAGGUUUGCUGUUUUUUUGGAGUUUUGGGUUUAUAGUGGCAAUAUGCAUAUACUAAUAUAUAUGGUAAGUUGUGGUUUUUGUGUUGUAUACACAAGCUUUUCUGUUGACUUGCAUGUCCUCCAUGUUUCUAGUUAUUUGAGCAGCCUACUAACUUUAGACUUUAUUAAUAACUGUUAAAUAGGAAUUUCGCUUGAAAGUUACAGGGGAUAAAUGCAUGAGUAGAUAUAGGGGUGAAAUAUGAUAGAAGAAGGUGCUUGAUAAAAGCUUAAAUAGAAAUUCUGAUUCGACAUAGCAAGUGGAUGGAUCUAAAUUUAAUAUUAUAAUAUUUCUGUAGUAAAAUGGAAGAAGUUGAUUCACAGUUAUAGGUUCUUUAGUAUAAGAUCACGUCUGAAACUGGAACUUGGCAUUUUAAUGCUAGUUUCAUCUAGUCUUAACAACUAUUUGCCAAAUUGAUCUUACAUAGCUAAAUCUAAGUCACAUAUUCAUUCAGGACAGUAGGGUGCAAAUAUUUUCUAAGACACCGGACAGUUAGUUAUUGAAACAAGAGAAGCAUGCAUGUGACUGUCUGGAGCUAGCUAUUGUGUUCAGAUGUGUGUUAAAUUAUCCAGAAAUAGAGAAAUUUAAAGGAUAAAUCAAUAAAAUGAGAUGUCUUGACUCUUGAGAAAUUUCCUUUCAAUUUUAGUAGAACUGUAUGUUAAUAUUCAGUCUGAAGGUAUUAAAGCAUUAAUUUGAAUCAACAUUAGACUUGUUUUAGGAAGCAAAGAGUUGGUAUGUAGUAACAUUUCUCGUUACUUAGUACCAUGUCUUUACGCCGAUAACUCUGUUUUAACAGAGUGCAAUAGAAAUAGCUGCGGUCCUAGGUGCUGUGUUUUGAAUUGUUCGGGUUAUAUUGUGGGUUGACAAAAAUUGUUACAUCUAUUGUAAACAACAAUUAUUGCUUAGGUGACCUUGUAUGUCAACACUUAACACCCUAAUUAUUGUAGCCAUAUGCUUUGACAGUAGAUUAUUGUCCCUUCCCUGAUGGUAGGUCAUUUGAUUUAGCAUAAAAUACAAAUAAUAAUAAUAGCUCCUUUAGGAAGUUCAUUGGAGCACUGUUGUUAAAUUGUCCUUUUAUGUAAUUUUUAUCCUAAAUGUUGAAAUUUGAGAUGGAACUGCGAUAUUAUAAUUAAAAUAUGGGAAUGAUUGUAACUUUAAGUUCUCUUUUUUUUUUUUUUAUAGAAGUCCCAUUGGAACAUAAUAUUCAUAAAUUUGGAAAUAUGUCGUAUUCCUGACAAAAUCUAAAGUCCGGCGCUUUUACGUUUAGAUUGGUCCUUAAUGACCCAGACUAUCUUGUUUCUUUCCUCUGUUUAUAUUUCAUUUAGAAGCAUAGUAAGGAUUAAAGGGUGAAACAUGAAUGCUUGUGGUAAUGAUCUACCUAGGAACUGAUUUGUUAUAGGUUGUUGGUCAAUGGAGUAAGUUAACGAAUAUGAAAAUAACAAUUUUUUUAGAAAAAAUGAAAAUAGUCUAGUUACUAAAAAUGAUACCGAAAAGUAUCUACUGCACGGUACUGAAUACAUGUCCUCAUAUAUGCAUUAUAACUAACUGUAUCAUUCUAUUGCUCGAUGUAUUUUUGAGAUGUGUGGAUAUAUGAUAUGCAAACAAGGAAACUAGUGAGUCAAGAAAAAACAGCUCUCGGCUUUCAGUUUGCUGGCUUUUGGAUAGCAUGUUUGUUCAUGGUGGUAGCAGCAUUCAGGUGUUGCAAUCAUUAUUACAAGCAUAUUACCAGUUGCAAUCAUUAUUCUACAACAUUCCCAGGAUCAAUGAAUUGCAUCAAAAUUUGUAUUGAACCUUUGUCAUAAUUUGUGUUCAAGUAGCUAGGCUAUUAGCCUUAUGGUCGAGCCAUAUUCCUAUUGUUUAUUGUUUUUGAGACCGACCUUUAUACACCCUUCCUUUCCCCUCUUCACUCUACAGAAUAGCAAUCUGAUAGGAUAUAUGCAACUGCAUCCACACGAAAAAAAUUUAAUCUCCAAGGAAACAGAAAUAAAGUGGAAUAUUUUAAGAAUGAUUAACAAGUACAUUUGAUUAACUUCCAUGAUAGAAUAAUGUUGAUUUAGUGAUGCUAAUGCGGAUUUUAGUGUUGUGUGUUUUCUGUUUUUGUGAGGUUGAUCCUGGCCUUUUGUGGACGAAUUGUUGGAGCUUGUUCGCUAGUAUUAUUGCCUCAGCACACCGUUGGUGGGGACGUUUCGAUAACAUUUUACACAUGGUUUCAGUUUAAUGUACCCAAUUUUUUGGUUAACUUUGUCAUGUAUAACUGUAGAUUUUGAAUAACAAUAUGUAAAGCUCUGUUAAUUGCUAGUCAUAUUUAUCAAAAAUAAUGUUUAGUUGUA